GACUCCAUGGUGUAAUGGUUAGCACAUCUGCUUUGCAUGUAGAAGGUCUUGGGUUUGUGCCCCAGGUGGAGCCA
rfam:Pteropus alecto contig103220, whole genome shotgun sequence.